ACCUGAAACCGUGUACGUACAAGCAGUGGGAGCCUCUUUAUGGGGUGACUGCGUACCUUUUGUAUAAUGGGUCAGCGACUUAUAUUCUGUAGCAAGGUUAACCGAAUAGGGGAGCCGAAGGGAAACCGAGUCUUAACUGGGCGUUAAGUUGCAGGGUAUAGACCCGAAACCCGGUGAUCUAGCCAUGGGCAGGUUGAAGGUUGGGUAACACUAACUGGAGGACCGAACCGACUAAUGUUGAAAAAUUAGCGGAUGACUUGUGGCUGGGGGUGAAAGGCCAAUCAAACCGGGAGAUAGCUGGUUCUCCCCGAAAGCUAUUUAGGUAGCGCCUCGUGAAUUCAUCUCCGGGGGUAGAGCACUGUUUCGGCAAGGGGGUCAUCCCGACUUACCAACCCGAUGCAAACUGCGAAUACCGGAGAAUGUUAUCACGGGAGACACACGGCGGGUGCUAACGUCCGUCGUGAAGAGGGAAACAACCCAGACCGCCAGCUAAGGUCCCAAAGUCAUGGUUAAGUGGGAAACGAUGUGGGAAGGCCCAGACAGCCAGGAUGUUGGCUUAGAAGCAGCCAUCAUUUAAAGAAAGCGUAAUAGCUCACUGGUCGAGUCGGCCUGCGCGGAAGAUGUAACGGGGCUAAACCAUGCACCGAAGCUGCGGCAGCGACACUAUGUGUUGUUGGGUAGGGGAGCGUUCUGUAAGCCUGUGAAGGUGGCCUGUGAGGGUUGCUGGAGGUAUCAGAAGUGCGAAUGCUGACAUAAGUAACGAUAAAGCGGGUGAAAAGCCCGCUCGCCGGAAGACCAAGGGUUCCUGUCCAACGUUAAUCGGGGCAGGGUGAGUCGACCCCUAAGGCGAGGCCGAAAGGCGUAGUCGAUGGGAAACAGGUUAAUAUUCCUGUACUUGGUGUUACUGCGAAGGGGGGACGGAGAAGGCUAUGUUGGCCGGGCGACGGUUGUCCCGGUUUAAGCGUGUAGGCUGGUUUUCCAGGCAAAUCCGGAAAACCAAGGCUGAGGCGUGAUGACGAGGCACUACGGUGCUGAAGCGACAAAUGCCCUGCUUCCAGGAAAAGCCUCUAAGCAUCAGGUAACAUCAAAUCGUACCCCAAACCGACACAGGUGGUCAGGUAGAGAAUACCAAGGCGCUUGAGAGAACUCGGGUGAAGGAACUAGGCAAAAUGGUGCCGUAACUUCGGGAGAAGGCACGCUGAUAUGUAGGUGAAGCGACUUGCUCGUGGAGCUGAAAUCAGUCGAAGAUACCAGCUGGCUGCAACUGUUUAUUAAAAACACAGCACUGUGCAAACACGAAAGUGGACGUAUACGGUGUGACGCCUGCCCGGUGCCGGAAGGUUAAUUGAUGGGGUUAGCGGUAACGCGAAGCUCUUGAUCGAAGCCCCGGUAAACGGCGGCCGUAACUAUAACGGUCCUAAGGUAGCGAAAUUCCUUGUCGGGUAAGUUCCGACCUGCACGAAUGGCGUAAUGAUGGCCAGGCUGUCUCCACCCGAGACUCAGUGAAAUUGAACUCGCUGUGAAGAUGCAGUGUACCCGCGGCAAGACGGAAAGACCCCGUGAACCUUUACUAUAGCUUGACACUGAACAUUGAGCCUUGAUGUGUAGGAUAGGUGGGAGGCUUUGAAGUGUGGACGCCAGUCUGCAUGGAGCCGACCUUGAAAUACCACCCUUUAAUGUUUGAUGUUCUAACGUUGGCCCGUAAUCCGGGUUGCGGACAGUGUCUGGUGGGUAGUUUGACUGGGGCGGUCUCCUCCUAAAGAGUAACGGAGGAGCACGAAGGUUGGCUAAUCCUGGUCGGACAUCAGGAGGUUAGUGCAAUGGCAUAAGCCAGCUUGACUGCGAGCGUGACGGCGCGAGCAGGUGCGAAAGCAGGUCAUAGUGAUCCGGUGGUUCUGAAUGGAAGGGCCAUCGCUCAACGGAUAAAAGGUACUCCGGGGAUAACAGGCUGAUACCGCCCAAGAGUUCAUAUCGACGGCGGUGUUUGGCACCUCGAUGUCGGCUCAUCACAUCCUGGGGCUGAAGUAGGUCCCAAGGGUAUGGCUGUUCGCCAUUUAAAGUGGUACGCGAGCUGGGUUUAGAACGUCGUGAGACAGUUCGGUCCCUAUCUGCCGUGGGCGCUGGAGAACUGAGGGGGGCUGCUCCUAGUACGAGAGGACCGGAGUGGACGCAUCACUGGUGUUCGGGUUGUCAUGCCAAUGGCACUGCCCGGUAGCUAAAUGCGGAAGAGAUAAGUGCUGAAAGCAUCUAAGCACGAAACUUGCCCCGAGAUGAGUUCUCCCUGAGACUUAGAGUCUCCUGAAGGAACGUUGAAGACGACGACG
rnacentral:rRNA from 1 species